AGUGUCAAAUUCUCCAUUUCACUGAAAAUAACUGCUACCCUACCACCACCAUCUGCCACUUAAUAUUGCUGUUUCCAAUUUACACUGGUUUGGGAUGCAAGAAACACUUUGACAUAAUUGUGCAGGUUUCUUGCAGUUAAACUUCAAGAGCAGCAACUCUUUUCUCAUCCUUCUUUCUGUGGAGCCACCCACGAUCCUGAUGGCUCCAGGACUGUUGCUACUGCAGGUCUGGCUGAUUGAAGUGAGGAGUUUAAUGUGUCCUUUGGCACCUUGUUGUCUUUUGUGAUCAUUGCUUCUGGGGCAGUAAAGGUCAGGUGGGGCUUCUCCAAAAUCUUCAAAAUCAACAGAUUGUGCCUCCGAUUGAAGGAAAAUGAGAAACCAAGAGUUUAGUUUUUGCACUACUCAUCUUCAGGCCAGGUUUUACAAAGAGGUGGGGCAGGUGCAGUGGUGCAAGUAGAACACUUCUCUCUCUCCCUUCAAGGCUUUCCUGGAGCUGAACUUGGCAAUGGUUUCCCGUGCGCCCCAUGUGCACAGCUCAUUCUCCCACCUGGGCAGUAAGGCAGGGAGGCCGUGGCAGUGGCUGCAUCGGAACGUGUUUGGGUGAAGUGUUGGGACUGCUCAGACUGAAUGACAGCUGCUUAUGCUUCUGACUCAAGACAGCCACGAGCCUUUUCCCUCCCUGACUCCUCUCACUGGCUGCACAGCUUCUGUGGCCACACACAGUGUCUCUUAAUGUGCAGGUGAAAUGAGGAAACAAUCUUUUUUGCCAGAAAGACAGACAAAUAGAACAUACUCAGUUUUAAUUACUGCAAGGCAGGAAUACUUCCCAUCAAAACUGCCAGAGCUCUUGCCACAAGUCAGUUUCACAUGACUUUCUACAGCAUGGUUUUGGUCUUCCAAAGCAGAGAAGCAGGAGUGCCUAGAGCUGAAUGCUUUCUCCUUGGAUUAUAACAGGAAGGGAUCUGAACUGCAAAAACAAUAUGGCAGUGGCCUUGGUGGGAUUAGAAAGGUAAAUCUGCAAAUGUAGCAGUAUUAUCUAUGUUGCAGAGAUGAUAAAUAUUAAGAUGAGUUGUUUAAAGAGCAGGUGGCCAUGGAAGCAGAUAAUUACUCUGCUGAGAAGAGAGAAACUGAAGUUGAGAACAGAGCAGCUGGAGAGC
rnacentral:lncRNA from 1 species